UACGGGGGGGGCAAGCGUUGUUCGGAAUCACUGGGCGUAAAGCGCACGUAGGCGGAUGUGUCAGUCAGGGGUGAAAUCCCGGGGCUCAACCUCGGAACUGCCUUUGAUACAGCACGUCUCGAGUCCGGAAGAGGUGGGUGGAAUUCCUAGUGUAGAGGUGAAAUUCGUAGAUAUUAGGAAGAACACCGGUGGCGAAGGCGGCCCACUGGUCCGGUACUGACGCUGAGGUGCGAAAGCGUGGGGAGCAAACAGG
rnacentral:rRNA from 1 species